rnacentral:rRNA from 1 species
GGAAUCUUGCGCAAUGGACGAAAGUCUGACGCAGCGACGCCGCGUGGGUGAUGAAGGCCUUCGGGUUGUAAAGCCCUGUGGGUGAGGACGAAUAAGUGCAACCGAAUACGUUGCAUGAUGACGGUACUCACUUAGCAAGCACCGGCUAACUCUGUGCCAGCAGCCGCGGUAAGACAGAGGGUGCGAACGUUGCUCGGAAUUACUGGGCGUAAAGCGUGUGUAGGCGGCCACGCAAGUCGGAUGUGAAAGCCCUGGGCUCAACCCAGGAAGUGCACCCGAUACUGCAUGGCUCGAGUACCGGAGAGGUUGGUGGAAUUCUCGGUGUAGAGGUGAAAUUCGUAGAUAUCGAGAGGAACACCGGUGGCGAAGGCGGCCAACUGGACGAGUACUGACGCUGAGACACGAAAGCGUGGGGAGCAAACA